AUUGAACGCUGGCGGCAGGCCUAACACAUGCAAGUCGAACGAGUGGCGGACGGGUGAGGAAUGUCUGGGAAACUGCUCGAGGGAGGGGGAUAUAUCCUGGAAACGGUAGCAAAUACCGCAGUCUAUCGGAUGUGCACAGAAGGGAUUAUCUAGUAGGUGGGGUAACGGCCCACCUAGGCGACGACCCCUAGCUGGUCUGAGAGGAUGACCAGCCACACUGGAACUGAGACACGGUCCAGACUCCUACGGGAGGCAGCAGUGGGGAAUAUUGCACAAUGGGCGAAAGCCUGAUGCAGCCAUGCCGCGUGUAUGAAGAAGGCCUUCGGGUUGUAAAGUACUUUCAGCGAGGAGGCGUUACUCGCAGAAGAAGGACCGGCUAACUCCGUGCCAGCAGCCGCGGUAAUUC
rnacentral:rRNA from 1 species